rnacentral:rRNA from 1 species
GUGGACCCGUGAUCCGGGUUGCGGACAGUGUCUGGUGGGUAGUUUGACUGGGGCGGUCUCCUCCUAAAGAGUAACGGAGGAGCACGAAGGUUGGCUAAUCCUGGUCGGACAUCAGGAGGUUAGUGCAAUGGCAUAAGCCAGCUUGACUGCGAGCGUGACGGCGCGAGCAGGUGCGAAAGCAGGUCAUAGUGAUCCGGUGGUUCUGAAUGGAAGGGCCAUCGCUCAACGGAUAAAAGGUACUCCGGGGAUAACAGGCUGAUACCGCCCAAGAGUUCAUAUCGACGGCGGUGUUUGGCACCUCGAUGUCGGCUCAUCACAUCCUGGGGCUGAAGUAGGUCCCAAGGGUAUGGCUGUUCGCCAUUUAAAGUGGUACGCGAGCUGGGUUUAGAACGUCGUGAGACAGUUCGGUCCCUAUCUGCCGUGGGCGCUGGAGAACUGAGGGGGGCUGCUCCUAGUACGAGAGGACCGGAGUGGACGCAUCACUGGUGUUCGGGUUGUCAUGCCAAUGGCACUGCCCGGUAGCUAAAUGCGGAAGAGAUAAGUGCUGAAAGCAUCUAAGCACGAAACUUGCCCCGAGAUGAGUUCUCCCUGAGACUUAGAGUCUCCUGAAGGAACGUUGAAGACGACGACGUUGAUAGGCCGGGUGUGUAAGCGCAGCGAUGCGUUGAGCUAACCGGUACUAAUGAACCGUGAGGCUUAACCUUACA